rnacentral:rRNA from 1 species
GAUGAACGCUGGCGGUAUGCUUAACACAUGCAAGUCGAACGGACUCUUCGGAGUUAGUGGCGGACGGGUGAGUAACGCGUGAGAAUCUGGCUUUGGGUUCGGGACAACCACUGGAAACGGUGGCUAAUACCGGAUGUGCCGAGAGGUAAAAGAGAAAUUGCCUGAAGAUGAGCUCGCGUCUGAUUAGCUAGUUGGUGAGGUAAAGGCUCACCAAGGCAGCGAUCAGUAGCUGGUCUGAGAGGAUGAUCAGCCACACUGGGACUGAGACACGGCCCAGACUCCUACGGGAGGCAGCAGUGGGGAAUUUUCCGCAAUGGGCGAAAGCCUGACGGAGCAAUACCGCGUGAGGGAAGAAGGCUCUUGGGUUGUAAACCUCUUUUCUUAGGGAAGAACAAAAUGACGGUACCUAAGGAAUCAGCAUCGGCUAACUCCGUG